rnacentral:snRNA from 1 species
AAGAAUACAGAAGAUCUUAUAGAAAAUGGAACAAUACAGAGAAGAUCACCAUGGCCCCUGUGCAUGGAUGACAUUCACAGAACGAAAAAUGGUCUAAGUUCUG